ensembl:lncRNA
UGGGGCGAGUGAUUUCUGUUUGCCUUAACAACCUUGAUGUGAUGCUUCUCCUUAUCGCUGGGUCAGUGGAGGCUAUGUGGCUAUGUGGCUGUGUGCCGUGUGCUUCAGCCAACACUGGCCCGUGUGCUUCCUUUGAAGGCCACACAGGGGUAGUCAUGCUUCAAACCCCUCAUAACCUCUCCUGUCUAAGCCGGACUGUUUUUAAGGGCUUGAUUGUUUACAGUAAUGAGUUCUCCAAAGGCGAACAGGUGUGCGAGCUGUGCUGUGUGUGUGUGUGUGUGUGAUUGAGUAUGUGUGUGUGUGUGCAAGUAUGUUUGUGUUUGUGUUAUUGUGUAUGUGUGUGUGUGCGGCGUCUGUGUGUGUGUGUGUGUGCGUGAGAGAGAGAGAGUAUGUGUGUGUGUGUGUGUAAGUAUGUGUGUGUGUGUGUAUGUAAGUGUGUGUGUGUGUGUGUGUGUGUGUGAGAGAGAGAGACAGAGAGAGAGAGAGAGUAUGUGUGUGGGUCUUAUUUGGAUUUUGGACUAAUUAUUCUUAAGCAGUUUUGGUUGACUUGUUAAUGAGCAAAAAUGUUGUGAGGGCAAAGGGUUGUUCAUUGGCUGAACUUGUGUGACUUUGUGUGACGUAUUUAAGGUAAUUUAAUGAACAUGGCUGUUGAAGGUGUGUCUGCUUAUGAAGUGUGAGAUUGGGUUCAGGUGAGUGAGAAUAGUUUAGGUUGGUCAGAGUGAAUGAUGUAUUUAGGGCUGUAGGAGGUUAUAUGUUGGGUUGUGUGUCUGUGUUUGAUAGCGUAUGGCAUUGUGUGAGAUUGUGUUGGGUUGUGAGUCUGUGUUUGAUAGCGUAUGGCAUUGUGUGAGAUUGUGUGUGUGUGUGUGUGUGUGUGUGUGUGUGUGUGUGUGUGUCUGUGUUUGAUAGCGUAUGGCAUUGUGUGAGAGCGUGUUGGGAGUCUGUGUUUGAUAGCGUAUGGCAUUGUGUGAGAGUGUGUUGGGAGUCUGUGUUUGAUAGCGUAUGGCAUUGUGUGAGAUUGUGUGUGUGUGUGUGUGUCUGUGUUUGAUAGCGUAUGGCAUUGUGUGAGAGUGUGUGUGUGUGUGUGUUUGAUGGCGUAUGGCAUUGUGUGAGAGUGUGUUGGGUUGUGAGUCUGUGUUUGAUAGCGUAUGGCAUUGUGUGAGAGUGUGUUGGGUUGUGUGUCUGUGUUUGAUAGCGUAUGGCAUUGUGUGAGAGUGUGUGUGUGUGUGUGUGUUUGAUGGCGUAUGGCAUUGUGUGAGAGUGUGUUGGGUUGUGUGUCUGUGUUUGAUAGCGUAUGGCAUUGUGUGAGAGUGUGUGUGUUGGGUUGUGAGUCUGUGUUUGAUAGCGUAUGGCAUUGUGUGAGAUUGUGUGUGUGUGUGUGUGUGUGUGUGUGUGUGUGUCUGUGUUUGAUAGCGUAUGGCAUUGUGUGAGAGUGUGUUGGGUUGAGUGAUUUGGUGUCUGGUAGUGUCAUGCGUGAGAUGGUGUGAGAUUAUUACCUGAGGGAUGCUUUAAAAGGUGAAUGUAUGACAGUGUAUUAUGAUGUGUUAUAAUGUAUAAGGUUAUGACAUUGUAUAAUGACGUGUAAUAUUGUAUGAGGUUAUGACAUUGUAUAAUGAUGUGUUAUAAUGUAUGAGGUUAUGACUGUUACGACCCUGUGGGUCUGUCUAUGUAUUUUUGCCUGUUCUUCUGUUUUGUCUUGUGUGUCUUGCAGG